GAUGAACGCUGGCGGCGUGCUUAACACAUGCAAGUCGAGCGAACAGACCCUGCUUUUGUGCCUUUCUCGUUUGCCGCGCGGGUGUGAAACACAUGUGUAUCCUCUCCUUGUCUUUCUGAUAUCUCCACGGCAAUCGGGAUCUUAUACCGUAUAAUCUCCUGCUGCAUGUUGGGCGUUGGUAAGUUUCGGCUGUUUGGUAUCGACUCGCGGGUUAUCAGCUUGUUGGUGGGGUAGUGGCUUACCAAGGCUUUGACGGGUAGCCGGCCUGAGAGGGUGACCGGCCACAUUGGUACUGAGAUACGGCCCAGACUCCUACGGGAGGCAGCAGUGGGGAAUAUUGCACAAUGGGCGGAAGCCUGAUGCAGCAACGCCGCGUGCGGGAUGACGGCCUUCGGGUUGUAAACCGCUUUCGCCUGUGACGAAGCGUGAGUGACGGUAAUGGGUAAAGAAGCACCGGCUAACUACGUG
rnacentral:rRNA from 1 species